rnacentral:rRNA from 2 species
AGGACCAUCUCCUAAGGCUAAAUACUCUCUAGUGACCGAUAGUGAACCAGUACCGUGAGGGAAAGGUGAAAAGCACCCCGGAAGGGGAGUGAAACAGAACCUGAAACCGUGUGCUUACAAGUAGUCAGAGCCCGUUAAUGGGUGAUGGCGUGCCUUUUGUAGAAUGAACCGGCGAGUUACGAUUUGAUGCAAGGUUAAGCAGUAAAUGUGGAGCCGUAGCGAAAGCGAGUCUGAAUAGGGCGUUUAGUAUUUGGUCGUAGACCCGAAACCAGGUGAUCUACCCUUGGUCAGGUUGAAGUUCAGGUAACACUGAAUGGAGGACCGAACCGACUUACGUUGAAAAGUGAGCGGAUGAACUGAGGGUAGCGGAGAAAUUCCAAUCGAACCUGGAGAUAGCUGGUUCUCUCCGAAAUAGCUUUAGGGCUAGCCUCAAGUGAUGAUUAUUGGAGGUAGAGCACUGUUUGGACGAGGGGCCCCUCUCGGGUUACCGAAUUCAGACAAACUCCGAAUGCCAAUUAAUUUAACUUGGGAGUCAGAACAUGGGUGAUAAGGUCCGUGUUCGAAAGGGAAACAGCCCAGACCACCAGCUAAGGUCCCAAAAUAUAUGUUAAGUGGAAAAGGAUGUGGCGUUGCCCAGACAACUAGGAUGUUGGCUUAGAAGCAGCCAUCAUUUAAAGAGUGCGUAAUAGCUCACUAGUCGAGUGACACUGCGCCGAAAAUGUACCGGGGCUAAACAUAUUACCGAAGCUGUGGAUUGUCCUUUGGACAAUGGUAGGAGAGCGUUCUAAGGGCGUUGAAGCAUGAUCGUAAGGACAUGUGGAGCGCUUAGAAGUGAGAAUGCCGGUGUGAGUAGCGAAAGACGGGUGAGAAUCCCGUCCACCGAUU